GUUUGCCCACAAAUCCAAAGGCUGUAGAAAAAUUUCGCUCAAAGAGAGUUGAGCAUAUUCACGACCGCUUGAAAAAAGCCAAAAACGGAAAACUCAUUCUCAUGCCAUACAAUCCUUCAUAAGUUUGAAUUUUCAUUUAAAACUUUUACAGUUGUUUCUGAAUUUAUAGUACUUUUACAACUGUUUGUUAAUUCAUGGUUUUGUUUUCUGCUUUUUUUCCAACUGCCUUCUCUGUCUUGUAGCUACCAUUGGGUUUUAGUUGUGUUUGACGUGGUGAAAAAGGAAGUGUUUUAUGUGGAUCCUGUGCAAUCAAGUCCUUAUAUUGAUUUAGAACAACUCCUUAAAAUGUAUGUAUGCCAAUCUAUUUCAUGCAAUUGAUAUUUUAAGUUUUUUUCAAUAUAAUUAAGAGAUAACAGUUUACUUUUUUUUUUAUAGCACCAUGACCCUCUUCACAACAGAGGAUAGUAAGAAAAAUUGGCAUUAUAAUUCUAAGAUGAGAAUUGUGAAGGUAUAAAAAAAAGUAACCCUACAGAAACUAUAUGCGCUAUCGAUUACAUAACUAAAAUGGAUGAGAUUUUGUAAGUUUUUUUUUGUGUGUGGCAUGAACAAGCUCCGAAACAAAAUACAUUAAAAUUGCAAUGUGGCUAUUAUGUGUUAAGGUACAUGAAGGUAAUAAUAGCAUAUGUUAGUUUGUUAAUGAACAAUGUAAGUUGAUGAUGACAUUUAGUUUGUUAAUGAAAAAUGUAAGUUGAUGAUGACAUUUCUUAACUUUCUUUUAUUCCAUAUACGUGAUAUUAUUUUUGAAGUUUGACAUCUUAAUAAUCUUGUGAUUAACAGGUUAAUGGAAAGAAUGUACACACUCAAGACGAAUUAAAUGAGGUUCGUUUGGAGUGGGCUAACCAUUUCUCUGACAUCCUUGUUGCAUCAGUAAAAUGGUUAGUAUGAGUAUGAAACUAUAAAUAUUAGUUGUAAAAAUUUAUUGAAAUUAAAGUUAUAGUGUCAAAUUAUAAUGGUUACUGUUACCGAAUUGUAGUGUGCAUGUUUUGCAUUCGAUAACAUUGGGUAUUUUGAUUGAUUCUGAAUAGAUUGGUUUGCUAGGUUUGGGUUGGAGUGUUGCUAGGUAUGUGGCUGGAAUACCAGUGGUGUGGAAAGAUGCUGAGUUGGAAGAUGUUGGGUUGCUGCUGAAUGUGUGUUGGGAGAGUUGUUGGGUAAGUGGCUAUUGGAAUAUUGCCGUUAGAAGAUGUAUUACUGUUGGAGGUUUUGUUGGCUUGGUGGUUGGAAUUUGACUUGCUUUUCUUGUAGUUUAAAUGGAUGAAUGUGUUUUUAUUUUUUUAAUUUGGGAUGUUGAUUAUAUAUGUAUUGGUAGUGAUGACAAUAUUAGAUACUAGAUGUAUUUAUUUUGAAAUUAACUUAUUGGAAUGAAUGAAUGUUAAUUAAUAUUAAUUGUUUUUAUUUUUUUCAUGA
rnacentral:lncRNA from 1 species